CCUACGGGGGGCUGCAGUGGGGAAUAUUGCACAAUGGGGGAAACCCUGAUGCAGCGACGCCGCGUGAGUGAAGAAGUAUCUCGGUACGUAAAGCUCUAUCAGCAGGGAAGAAAAUGACGGUACCUGACUAAGAAGCCCCGGCUAACUACGUUCCAGCAGCCGCGGUAAUACGUAGGGGGCAAGCGUUAUCCGGAUUUACUGGGUGUAAAGGGAGCGUAGGCGGCAGCACAAGUCUGGAGUGAAAUCCCCGGGCUUAACCCCGGAACUGCAGUUGAAACUGUGCGGCUGGAGUGCAGGAGGGGUAGGCGGAAUUCCUAGUGUAGCGGUGAAAUGCGUAGAUAUUAGGAGGAACACCGGUGGCGAAGGCGGCUGACUGGACUGUAACUGACGUUGAGGCUCGAAAGCGUGGGGAGCAAACAGGAUUAGAUACCCCGGUAGUC
rnacentral:rRNA from 1 species